rnacentral:rRNA from 1 species
GACGAACGCUGGCGGCGUGCUUAACACAUGCAAGUCGAACGGGUCUGCCUUGUUUUUUGCGGGGUGGGUCAGUGGCGAACGGGUGAGUAACACGUGAGUAACCUGCCCCUCACUUCUGGAUAACCGCUUGAAAGGGUGGCUAAUACGGGGUGUUCUGGCUGUGCCGCAUGGUGUGGCUGGGAAAGAUUCACUUUUGUGGUGUUUUGGUGGGGGAUGGGCUCGCGGCCUAUCAGCUUGUUGGUGGGGUGAUGGCCUGCCAAGGCUUUGACGGGUAGCCGGCCUGAGAGGGUGGGCGGUCACACUGGGACUGAGAUACGGCCCAGACUCCUGCGGGAGGCAGCAGUGGGGGGUAUUGCACAAUGGGCGGAAGCCUGAUGCAGCGACGUCGCGUGAGGGAUGGAGGCCUUCGGGUUGUGAACCUCUUUCGCCGGUGAAGAAGG